CUGUGAUUUAACCAUUCUACACGUGCGUGAGCGCAACUACAACACGAAAACGUAUGUACUAUUGUCAAGAAACUACAAAACAAACA
rnacentral:misc_RNA from 1 species